rnacentral:rRNA from 1 species
GACGAACGCUGGCGGCGUGCCUAAUACAUGCAAGUAGAACGCUGAAGGAGGAGCUUGCUCUUCUGGAUGAGUUGCGAACGGGUGAGUAACGCGUAGGUAACCUGCCUGGUAGCGGGGGAUAACUAUUGGAAACGAUAGCUAAUACCGCAUAACAGUAGAUGUUGCAUGACAUUUACUUAAAAGGUGCAAUUGCAUCACUACCAGAUGGACCUGCGUUGUAUUAGCUAGUUGGUGGGGUAACGGCUCACCAGGGCGACGAUACAUAGCCGACCUGAGAGGGUGAUCGGCCACACUGGGACUGAGACACGGCCCAGACUCCUACGGGAGGCAGCAGUAGGGAAUCUUCGGCAAUGGACGGAAGUCUGACCGAGCAACGCCGCGUGAGUGAGGAAGGUUUUCGGAUCGUAAAGCUCUGUUGUAAGAGAAGAACGAGUGUGAGAGUGGAAAGUUCACACUGUGACGGUAUCUUACCAGAAAGGGACGGCUAACUACGUG